GACGAACGCUGGCGGCGUGCCUAAUACAUGCAAGUCGAACGCAGUGGGGACGGGUGAGUAACACGUGGGUAACCUCCCAUCAGAGGGGAUAACACUUGGAAACAGGUGCUAAACCGAUACUGAUGGAUGGACCCGCGGUGCAUUAGCUAGUUGGUGAGGUAACGGCUCACCAAGGCCACGAUGCAUAGCCGACCGCGGAGGGUGAUCGGCCCCACUGGGACUGGGACACGGCCAAGACUCCUCCGGGGGGCAGAGGUAGGGAAUCUUCGGCAAUGGACGAAAGUCUGACCGAGCACCGCCGCGUAAGUAAAGCAGGUUUUCGGAUCGUAAGACUCUGUUGUUAGAGAAGCGGUAUCUAACCAGAAAGCCACGGCUAACUACGUGCCAGCAGCCGCGGUAAUUC
rnacentral:rRNA from 1 species